CACCAGCCCCUCGAGUGGUGGGGAUGAUUAUUUGGCCUAAAGCGUCCGUAGCCGGCCGGGUAAGUUUCCCGUUAAAUCCAGCGUCUCAAGCGUUGGACUGCGGGAAAUACUGCCUGGCUAGAGAGUGGGAGAGGUCAGCGGUAUUCUGGGGGUAGGGGCGAAAUCCUUUGAUCCCCGGAGGACCACCAGUGGCGAAGGCUGCUGACUAGAACACGUCUGACGGUCAGGGACGAAAGCUGGGGUAGCGAACCGGAUUAGAUACCCGGGUAGUCCCAGCCGUAAACGAUGCAUGCUAGGUGUUGGGUUGGCCACGAGCCACCCCAGUGCCGCAGGGAAGCUGUUAAGCAUGCCGCCUGGGAAGUACGAUCGCAAGAAUUGAAACUUAAAGGAAUUGGCGGGGAGCACCACCAGGCGUGAAGCCUGCGGUUU
rnacentral:rRNA from 1 species